rnacentral:lncRNA from 1 species
AGACAUUCUUUCAGUGUUAUCAAUAGUUAUCAGUGUUAACACAAGAGCUCUAUAGGAUAGAGGGUAUUGCCCCCACUUUUUAGAGGAGGAGGUAAAGCUAUGGAAGAUGACUCCUCUGGGGCCCACAGUGAGAGUCCUGGAACAAGGAUUGAAGUGACAUUGCAGCUUGACCACUGAAACAGCUUGCAAACUCCGGUUCUUGUGAUUUGAGGCCAAGGACUCCAAGAUGGGGUGAUGAGGAGAAGGGGAGAGCCAGAUCUUAGCCUUGCCAUUUGGAAAAGGGCUUGCUAUUCAUCCUUUUGGAUCCUGCAAUUCAUCAUCUUGAGUGGAUUUGUUGCAAAAGCACGAUCACGACCAAUCUGACAUCUACAAUGGCAUCGUUUCCUGUGGGGUCCCUGAUCUGCCAGUAGGGGAUUCUCUGAAGCAAUUAGACAGAAGCAUCGCACAAGCUCAUAGGCAUAACAUGGCCAUCGGGCAAGGACAGCACCUUCAAAUGAAUGCAGGAGAGUAGCAUAUGGAUGGAGAAGAUGCACUGUGCGUUCUUGCAGGCAACUUUUCCACUGUGUCUCCCCCUUCAGCCAACACAGGCCUGGAACAAAACAGAAUCUGGAAAGUAGACAUUGCACUGAAUCUCAUGUAGCUUCGGAUUGUGCUUGAGCUUAUCUAAGGUGGAGGUUCGGGGAACAGGGAGGAGCUGUAUAAUAACAUUUGGAACAUUCUUCCUAAGAUCCAUGGCUCCACUUUGACUUAUUCAACAUUAAGAGGAAUAAAGUCCAGAUUGCUUCUGCUGUGUUCCCAAGGCUCACGAAAGCCAGACACUAGACUCCCGUUGGAUCUAAAAGGAAACUCCUGAAUAAAUCCACAAUGUUACUGGGAAAACGUCUUGAAGGGCCAGUGUUUCUGAUUUCUCAGGUACCAGCCAUUAUCUCAAGAUCAUCUUUUAUUAAGAAAUUGUCCCCUA